rnacentral:rRNA from 1 species
UACGUAGGGCGCAAGCGUUGUCCGGAAUUAUUGGGCGUAAAGAGCUCGUAGGCGGUUUGUUGCGUCUGUCGUGAAAGCCCACGGCUUAACCGUGGGUCUGCGGUGGAUACGGGCAGACUAGAGGCAGGUAGGGGAGAAUGGAAUUCCCGGUGUAGCGGUGAAAUGCGCAGAUAUCAGGAGGAACACCGGUGGCGAAGGCGGAUCUCUGGGCCGAUACUGACGCUGAGGAGCGAAAGCGUGGGGAGCGAACAGG